rnacentral:rRNA from 1 species
GAUGAACGCUGGCGGCGUGCCUAAUACAUGCAAGUCUAGCGAACAGACGAGGAGCUUGCUCCUCUGACGUUAGCGGCGGACGGGUGAGUAACACGUGGAUAACCUACCUAUAAGACUGGGAUAACUUCGGGAAACCGGAGCUAAUACCGGAUAAUAUAUUGAACCGCAUGGUUCAAUAGUUAACGACGCUUUUGCUGUCCCUUAUACAUGGAUUCCCUCCGCAUUAGCUAGUUGGUAAGGUAACGGCUUACCAAGACAACGAUGCGUAGCCGACAUGAGAGGGUGAUCGGCCACAGUGGAACUGAGACACGGUCCAGACUCCUACGGGAGGCAGCAGUAGAGAAUCUUCCGCAAUGGGCGAAAGCCUGACGGAGCAACGCCGCGUGAGUGAUGAAGGUCUUCGGAUCGUAAAACUCUGUUAUUAGGGAAGAACAAAUGUGUAAGUAACUAUGCACGUAUUGACGGUACCUAAUCAGAAAGCCACGGCUAACUACGUG